rnacentral:rRNA from 1 species
GACGAACGCGGCGGCGUGCCUAAUACAUGCAAGUAGAACGCUGAAGGAGGAGCUUGCUCUUCUGGAUGAGUUGCGAACGGGUGAGUAACGCGUAGGUAACCUGCCUGGUAGCGGGGGAUAACUAUUGGAAACGAUAGCUAAUACCGCAUAACAUUGACUAUUGCAUGAUAGUCAAUUGAAAGGUGCAAAUGCACCACUACCAGAUGGACCUGCGUUGUAUUAGCUAGUUGGUGGGGUAACGGCUCACCAAGGCGACGAUACAUAGCCGACCUGAGAGGGUGAUCGGCCACACUGGGACUGAGACACGGCCCAGACCCCUACGGGAGGCAGCAGUAGGGAAUCUUCGGCAAUGGACGGAAGUCUGACCGAGCAACGCCGCGUGAGUGAAGAAGGUUUUCGGAUCGUAAAGCUCUGUUGUAAGAGAAGAACGAGUGUGAGAGUGAAAAGUUCACACUGUGACG